UACAGAGGGUGCGAGCGUUAAUCGGAAUUACUGGGCGUAAAGCGCACGUAGUCGGCUUUGCAAGUCGGGUGUGAAAUCCCCGGGCUCAACCUGGGAACUGCAUCCGAGACUGCAUUGCUAGAGUAUGGGAGAGGGAAGCGGAAUUUCUGGUGUAGCAGUGAAAUGCGUAGAUAUCAGAAGGAACAUCAGUGGCGAAGGCGGCUUCCUGGACCAAUACUGACGAUCAGGUGCGAAAGCGUGGAGAGCAAACAGG
rnacentral:rRNA from 1 species